UACGGGGGGGGCAAGCGUUGUUCGGAAUUGCUGGGCGUAAAGGGUUCGUAGGUGGCCAAUUAAGUCAGACGUGAAAUCCCUCAGCUUAACUGGGGAACUGCGUCUGAGACUGGAUGGCUUGAGUGCAGGAGAGGAACGCGGAAUUCCAGGUGUAGCGGUGAAAUGCGUUGAUAUCGGAAGGAACGCCGGUGGCGAAAGCGACCCGCUGGACCUCUUCUGACGCUGAGGCGCGAAAGCUAGGGGAGCGAACGGG
rnacentral:rRNA from 1 species